rnacentral:pre_miRNA from 1 species
CCUAACAAAAAUUAUCAAUGGGUUUCAAUUGAGUUUCUAACGUAUUCUUCACUCAAUUGAAACUUAUUGAUGAUAUUUGUAA